rnacentral:tRNA from 1 species
AGAGUUUGAUCAUGGCUCAGAUUGAACGCUGGCGGCAGGCCUAACACAUGCAAGUCGAGCGGCAGCGGGAGGAAGCUUGCUUCCUCGCCGGCGAGCGGCGGACGGGUGAGUAAUGUCUGGGGAUCUGCCCGAUGGAGGGGGAUAACCACUGGAAACGGUGGCUAAUACCGCAUAACGUCGCAAGACCAAAGUGGGGGACCUUCGGGCCUCACACCAUCGGAUGAACCCAGAUGGGAUUAGCUAGUAGGUGGGGUAAUGGCUCACCUAGGCGACGAUCCCUAGCUGGUCUGAGAGGAUGACCAGCCACACUGGAACUGAGACACGGUCCAGACUCCUACGGGAGGCAGCAGUGGGGAAUAUUGCACAAUGGGCGCAAGCCUGAUGCAGCCAUGCCGCGUGUGUGAAGAAGGCCUUCGGGUUGUAAAGCACUUUCAGCGAGGAGGAAGGUGGUGANUCAUCAAUUGACGUUACUCGCAGAAGAAGCACCGGCUAACUCCGUGCCAGCAGCCGCGGUAAUACGGAGGGUGCAAGCGUUAAUCGGAAUUACUGGGCGUAAAGCGCACGCAGGCGGUUUGUUAAGUCAGAUGUGAAAUCCCCGAGCUUAACUUGGGAACUGCAUUUGAAACUGGCAAGCUAGAGUCUCGUAGAGGGGGGUAGAAUUCCAGGUGUAGCGGUGAAAUGCGUAGAGAUCUGGAGGAAUACCGGUGGCGAAGGCGGCCCCCUGGACGAAGACUGACGCUCAGGUGCGAAAGCGUGGGGAGCAAACAGGAUUAGAUACCCUGGUAGUCCACGCCGUAAACGAUGUCGAUUUGGAGGUUGUGCCCUUGAGGCGUGGCUUCCGGAGCUAACGCGUUAAAUCGACCGCCUGGGGAGUACGGCCGCAAGGUUAAAACUCAAAUGAAUUGACGGGGGCCCGCACAAGCGGUGGAGCAUGUGGUUUAAUUCGAUGCAACGCGAAGAACCUUACCUACUCUUGACAUCCAGAGAACUUNGGCAAGCGGACCUCAUAAAGUACGUCGUAGUCCGGAUUGGAGUCUGCAACUCGACUCCAUGAAGUCGGAAUCGCUAGUAAUCGUAGAUCAGAAUGCUACGGUGAAUACGUUCCCGGGCCUUGUACACACCGCCCGUCACACCAUGGGAGUGGGUUGCAAAAGAAGUAGGUAGCUUAACCUUCGGGAGGGCGCUUACCACUUUGUGAUUCAUGACUGGGGUGAAGUCGUAACAAGGUAACCGUAGGGGAACCUGCGGUUGGAUCACCUCCUUACCUAAAGAUAUCCUGACUGUGCAGUGUCCACACAGAUUGUCUGAUGAAAAAGUAACGAGCAGAAAUACCUUUAUAGGCUUGUAGCUCAGGUGGUUAGAGCGCACCCCUGAUAAGGGUGAGGUCGGUGGUUCAAGUCCACUCAGGCCUACCAAAUUCUUCCUUAUGCUGCGUUAUGCUCCCGGUCGUUUACCGACGUAAACUUCCCGGUCGCAUGCCUUGCCUAAGAAAGAAUUAACUCUUUGCGAGUUGGUAAUAACAAAGGUAUUGCACGCGAUUAUAUGGGGCUAUAGCUCAGCUGGGAGAGCGCCUGCCUUGCACGCAGGAGGUCAGCGGUUCGAUCCCGCUUAGCUCCACCAUAUAAGUCCGAAUAUCAAUACUUCAGAGUAUAUUGGCNGGCAAGCGGACCUCAUAAAGUACGUCGUAGUCCGGAUUGGAGUCUGCAACUCGACUCCAUGAAGUCGGAAUCGCUAGUAAUCGUAGAUCAGAAUGCUACGGUGAAUACGUUCCCGGGCCUUGUACACACCGCCCGUCACACCAUGGGAGUGGGUUGCAAAAGAAGUAGGUAGCUUAACCUUCGGGAGGGCGCUUACCACUUUGUGAUUCAUGACUGGGGUGAAGUCGUAACAAGGUAACCGUAGGGGAACCUGCGGUUGGAUCACCU